AUGUGUCGAUCACUAAGUAAUAAACAGGAAUCUGAUGUUGGAAAUAAGCAACUAGAUAUCAAAGCAAAAGGAUCACGGCUCCUCUUACAAAUCAGUGAAUGUAAGCAGACCCUUGAGCAAGAGAGCAACAUGACUGCUAGCUUCCCUGCUGCAUUACAGGAGAUGGAUACGAAGUCCUCGGAGGAGGAAUACAAAGCUCUACAAGGUGAUGGAGCUGGAGAUGUGUAUUUCCAGUCUCUUGAAGAACGAAUCAUUUAUAUGAAGGUGUUCUGCCGAUACUUUUCAGUUUGGUUGCUCCAUGAUUAA
rnacentral:rRNA from 1 species